rnacentral:rRNA from 1 species
CCCCUACGGGAGGCAGCAGUGGGGAAUAUUGCACAAUGGGGGAAACCCUGAUGCAGCGACGCCGCGUGAAGGAAGAAGUAUUUCGGUAUGUAAACUUCUAUCAGCAGGGAAGAAAAUGACGGUACCUGACUAAGAAGCCCCGGCUAACUACGUGCCAGCAGCCGCGGUAAUACGUAGGGGGCAAGCGCUAUCCGGAUUUACUGGGUGUAAAGGGAGCGUAGACGGCAGAGCAAGUCUGAAGUGAAAGCCCGCGGCCCAACAGCG